rnacentral:rRNA from 1 species
UACGUAGGUGGCGAGCGUUGUCCGGAAUUACUGGGUGUAAAGCGCGUGUAGGCGGGAGGCCAAGUCUGCGGUGAAAUCGCUCGGCUCAACUGGGGAGGGUCACGCGAUACUGAUCGACUGGAAGGCAGGAGAGGGUAGUGGAAUUCCCGGUGUAGUGGUGAAAUGCGUAGAUAUCGGGAGGAACACCAGUGGCGAAGGCGACUACCUGGCCUGUUCUUGACGCUGAGGCGCGAAAGCUAGGGGAGCAAACGGG